UACGGAGGGGGCUAGCGUUGUUCUGAAUUACUGGGCGUAAAGCGCACGUAGGCGGACUGGUAAGUUGGGGGUGAAAUCCCGGGGCUCAACCUCGGAACUGCCUUCAAAACUAUCAGUCUGGAGUUCGAGAGAGGUGAGUGGAAUACCGAGUGUAGAGGUGAAAUUCGUAGAUAUUCGGUGGAACACCAGUGGCGAAGGCGGCUCACUGGCUCGAUACUGACGCUGAGGUGCGAAAGCGUGGGGAGCAAACAGG
rnacentral:rRNA from 1 species